rnacentral:lncRNA from 1 species
AAAUCUCAUUUUUGAUACUUUUUUUUAAUGGAGGAAGGGUUGGCAAACAUCAUCACACAGCCCUGUUCCCCCGCCCUGUUACUCACUGACCGCACAGGCCUCGUUGCUUCCUUAGUAGGGUGUUUAUUUUAAUUUCAGCUUUUCUCCUUGGCAUUAUUUAAAAAAAAAUUACCAUCUAGUCACUCAUUUGCAAUGUGUGUGUGUCUGUUCAGGGUGGCUCUUGCUUUCUUUAUGCUCCAGCUGUGGGCAGAAGUGGUCAGAGGGGCCCUGCUGGAGACCUGUGGGCUGGGCAGUGGGUUCAGAGCCUGCUGGCAAGGGGCCAAUGCUGAGGGCUGGCCAGAUGUGGAGCCACCAACCCCAGCCGACCCGGAGGUGACAGCAUGGCGCACACCAGCACCUGGAACCCAGCAGAACCCAGGUGUGGAGCAAGAGUGACUGUGUGGAGAUGCCUCGCAUGAAGGAAGAACUUCUACCCAUCAACGGUGAACUCUGUGAGUCCUGGUGGGGGUUGCAGAGGAGCACCUUCCUCCCUUGGAAUGAUGAGAUUAAGACCAAGAAGCCCUCACAGGCAAAGCAAAGGCAAAAGCUUUGGGCCUGGGCCAGACAGCCAAGGUUCAGGUCCCAGCAGUGCCACUUAAUGACUGCGUGACCUUGACUAGUAACUUCACCACUCAGAGUCUUUGCCUCCUCAUUUGAAACCUGGAAAAAACUGAAACAUACCUCACAGGUCUAUGCUGAAUAAAUGAGGUUAUGAACAGGAAAGUCAUGACCAGUAAGUAUUAAUGUCUUUUCUUCUUUUGCAGAGAAACAAUAGAAAAUCUGCCUUGUCGCCAUUAAGGGCAGACUCCCCACUGUCUGCCUUGGCGGGGAGCACAGCUUUAGCAAAUCUCCUUCAACUCUGGAGGUCAGCCUAUGCCUCAGUACACAGAAUGCUGUGGAGAAAGUUUCUGCAGUGACUCAAUGCAAGUGUACUUCUGAACAAAAUGCUUUAUCGUCUUAGGUUUCAUAAGAUGAAUGGAGCAAAGAAGGAGAAAGCAUCUUAUGUGCGAGGUGCUGUGAUAGGCACUUCUUCAUUUCCUCCUGCUCUUGAAACUCUGAAGUAGAGAUUAUUUUCCCCAUUUUAUAGCACAGAAACUUUUUGAGAGGCAGAGAAAUGAAAGGGCUUGCUCAAGAUCAUACAGUAAUGGGUUGAAUUCAGCUGCCUCUAAAACAUUAUAUAUUUUUAAAUAAAAGUAGCUAUAAUAACAGAUAAAAAUAUUUAAGAAUAAAUGUAACCAAAGAAAUGCAAGACUUGUACACUGAAAAAUAUAAAGCAUCAUUGAAAGAAAUUAAUUAUCUAAAUAAAUGGAAAGACAUCACAUGUUCAUGGUUUGGAAACCUUAAUAUUGUUCAGAUGGCAAUACUCCCCAAAUUGAUCUACAGGUUCAAUGCAAUUUCUGCCAAAAUUCCAGCUCUCUAGUUUGCAGAAAUUGACAAGCCAAUCUUAAAAUCUGUAUAGAAACAAAAGGCAAAACAAUAGGCAAACAGUCUUAAAAAAGAACAAAGUUGGAUAAUUGAUACGUCCCAAUAUUUUUUGUUUUCUUUCAUUUAAAACAAUUUAUUUUUAUUUAGAGACAAAGUCUUGCUCUGUUAUCCAGGCUGGAGUGCAGUGGUGUAAUCAUAGCUCACUGUAACCUCCAAAUCCUGGGCUCAAGUGAACCUCCUACCUCAGCCUUCUGAAUAGCUAAGACUACAGGCAUACACCACCACUCCUGGCUAAUUUCUUUACUUUUAUUUUUUUGUAGACAUGUAGUCUCCCUAGGGUGCCCAGACUGGGACACUUGCCAAUUUGAAAACCUACUACAAAGCUAAAGUAAUCAGGGCUGGGUGGUAAUGGCAUAAAGAGAGUCAUAGAGAUCAAUGGAAUAGAAUAGAGAAUCCAGAUAUAAACUCAUACAUUUAUGGUCAAAUGAUUUUUGACGGGAGUGUCAAGACAAUUCAACAGGGAAAGAAUAGUCUUGCCAACAAAUGGUGCUGGAACAACUGGAUAGCCACAUAAAAAAGAAUGAGUUUGGAUUCUAACCUAAUAUCAUAAAAAAUUAAUUCAAAAUGGAUCAAAGACAUAAAUCUAAGAAGUAAAACUAGAAAACUCUAAGAAUAAAACAUAGGCAUAAAUCUUUGUGACCUUGGAUGUAUCACAGUUUCUUAGAUAUGACAACAAAAGCAUAUGCAACCCCCAAAAUAGAAAAGUUAGAUUUUAUCAAAAUUAAAGACACUGGUGCUUCAGAGAACACCAACAAGAGAGCGAAAAGACACCCCGUGAAAUGGGAAAAAAUUUGCAAAUCAUGUACCUUAUAAAGGCCUUGUAUUUUAGAUAGAGAAAGAACACUUUCAACUCAACAAUAAAAAGAUAAGUCAGUAAAAAAUGGACAAAGGAUUUGAAUAGACAUUUCUCUAAGGAAGACAUACACAUAAAAAAGUGCUGAGCACCAUUAGCCAUUAAGGAAAUAUAAAUCAUUUUUGCACAAUGAUACAGGCAACAAAAGCAAAAGUAGACAAAUGAGAUUACAUCAAACUGAAAAGCUUCUGCACAGCAAAGGAAACAAUCAACAGAGUGAAGAGGCAACCUGUGGAAUGGGAGAAAUUGUUUGCAAACCACACAUCUGGUAAGAGAUUAACAUCUAAGGAACAUAUAGAAGGAACUAAAACAACUCGAUAGCAAGAAAAUAGAUAACCUGAUUUAAAAACAGGCAAAGGACCUGAAUAGACAUUUCUGAAAAGAAGACAUACAAAUGGCCAACAGGUAUAUGAAAAAUGCUCAGCAUCACUAACCAUCAGGGAAAUGCAAGUGAAACCCACAAUGAGAUAUCACCUCCUACCUGUUAGAAGGACUAUUAUAAAUAAGAUUAAAGAUAACAAGUGUUGGUAAGGAGGUGGAGAAAAGGAAACUCUUGCACAUUGUUAGUGGGAAUUUAAGUUAAUGUAACCAUUAUGGAAAACGUAUGAAGGUUCCUCAAAAAAUUAAAAAUAGAACUACCAUAUGAUACAGCAAUACCAUUAUGGAGUAUAUAUCCAAAGGAAACAAAAUCAGUAAGUCAAAGAGAUAUCUGCACUCUCAUGUUUAUUGAGGCAUUAUUCAUAAUAGCCAAGAUACGGAAACAACCUAAGUGUCCAUCAGUGGAUGAAUGGAUAAAGAAAACAUGGAAUAUAUACACAAUGGAAUACUAUGCAGCCUUAAAAAAGAAAGAAAUUCUGCCAUUUGUGACCACAGGGAUAACCUGGAGGACAUUAUGUUAAGUGAAAUAAGCCAGGUACGGUAAGACAAAUACUGCACAAUCUCACUUAUCUGUGGAAUCUAAAGUAAUUGAACUAAUUAAUAGAAGUAGAGAGUAGAAUAGUGGAUACCAGGGGCUAGGGUGGGGUGGUACUGGGGGGUUGGAAUUGGAAAGAUGUUGGCCAAAGGGCACAGAAUUUCAGUUAGACAGGGAAUAAGUUCAAGAUCUCUUGUACAUCAUGGUGACCAUAGUUAAUAACAAUGCACUGUGUACUUGAAAAUUACUGAGAGUAGAUUUUGUGUUCUUACCACAAAAAAUGGCAAGUAUAUGAAGUUAAUGGAUAUGUUAAUUAACAUGACUUUGCCACUCCACAAUGUAUACAUAUAUCAAAACAUCAUGCUGUACACUCUACAUAUAUACAACUUUUAUUUGUCAAUUAAAAAAUAAUUGGAUGAAAAUUCAAACAAACAAUAAAAAACACCACAAUGAGAUACCACUUUAUACCCACUGAUCAUGGAUACACUAAAACAGGAUGGACAAGUGUGGGGAAGGAUGUCGAGAAAUUGGACCCUGAUGCAUUGCUGGUGGGAAUAACAUGGUGCAAGAGUUUUGGAAAACUUUGGCAAUUCCUCAAAAUAUUACACAUAGAGUUACUGUUUUCCUAGAUAUGUCCCCAGGAGAACUGAAAACAUAUUAAAACAAAACAUGUACAUGUAUGUUCACAGAAGUAUUAUUUGUAAUAGCCAAAAAGUGGAAACAGCCUAAACAGCCAUCAACAGGUGAAUGGAUAAACAAAAAGUGAUGUCCAUAUGAUGAGAUAUGAUUCACGCAUAAGAAGGAAAGAAAUUCCGACAGAUGCCACAACAUGGUUAAAUCUUGAAAACAUUAUGCUAAGGGAAAUAAGCCAGACACAAAAGAACAAAUAUUGUAUGAUUCCACUAACAUGAGGUACUUAGAAUAGGCAAAUUUACAGAAGCAGGAAGUAUGAUAGCAGUUACUAUGGGCUAAGAGAAGGGGGAAAUGGGCAGUUAUUGUUUAAUGGGUAUGGAGUUUCUGUUCGAGAUAAUGAAAAAAUUCUGGAAAUGGAUAGUGGUGAUGGCUGUGCAAUAUCAUAAACAUAACUAAUGCCACUGAAUUGUACACUUAAAAUUGUAUAUUAUGUAUAUUCUAUCACAAUAAAAACUUAAAUGUACUUUAAUAAAUGUACUUUAUAUCACUACUGUAUGUGGAAAACAAAAGAAAUUUCCAAGUGAUACCAUGAAAAUAAAACACC